UUGGCCAGGUCCCUCCACCCUCAUGCUCCAGGGUGGGCGCUGGGGAAGAAAGGGGCCAAGUGCAUCACGGGCUUCCUGGGGCUGCAGCCCCUGGCACAGUUCCUAAUUCUGCUCGCACUUGGGCCUCAGGCUGGGUGGAGCUUGGCACCUGGGAGUUGGUGGCAGCGCUGAAGGGUCCCCGCUGCCCCGUCAUAGCAUCUGCUCUCACCGUCGUCCUCCUCAGUGAGUAUCGGAGAGAGCCAGGAGUGUGUCCAUGGGGGGAAUCUGAGCCCAGAGUGUAGGAUCCAGUCGCUCUGGGAUCUGGUCCCUAAAGACCCAUCUCCUCUCCAGGCUGCUGGCUGGCCGGGCGGAGCGGGGUGUCGGGAGCUAAAGAACAGGAGAAGCUGCCUACUUGGACUUUAGUGACCCUGUGCAGAUCAUUGUAGCAGAUUUCGCGCCUGGAGAUUGCAGAGAAACCAUCUGAUGAGGAGAAAGGGGCCGAGUGUAUCACGGGCUUCCUGGGGCUUCAGCCCCCAGCGCAGUUCCUCAUUCCGCUCGCACUCGGGCCUCAGACUCGGAGGUGCUCAGCACUGAGGCGUUUGUAGCAGCGCUGAGGGGCCCCCCACUGCCUCUUCAUGGCAUCUGCUCUCACCAUCCUCCUCGGCUGCUGGCUGGCCGGGCACAGCGGGGUGUGGG